AUUGAACGCUGGCGGCAUGCCUUGCACAUGCAAGUCGAACGGUGACAGGCCGCAAGGUGCUGACGAGUGGCGAACGGGUGAGUAAUGCAUCGGAACGUGCCCAGUCGUGGGGGAUAACUGCUCGAAAGAGCAGCUAAUACCGCAUACGAUCUAUGGAUGAAAGCGGGGGACCGUAAGGCCUCGCGCGAUUGGAGCGGCCGAUGUCAGAUUAGGUAGUUGGUGGGGUAAAGGCUCACCAAGCCAACGAUCUGUAGCUGGUCUGAGAGGACGACCAGCCACACUGGGACUGAGACACGGCCCAGACUCCUACGGGAGGCAGCAGUGGGGAAUUUUGGACAAUGGGGGCAACCCUGAUCCAGCAAUGCCGCGUGCAGGAAGAAGGCCUUCGGGUUGUAAACUGCUUUUGUACGGAACGAAACGGUUUGGGUUAAUACCCUGGGCUAAUGACGGUACCGUAAGAAUAAGCACCGGCUAACUACGUGCCAGCAGCCGCCGUAAUAC
rnacentral:rRNA from 1 species